UACGUAGGGUCCGAGCGUUGUCCGGAAUUACUGGGCGUAAAGAGCUCGUAGGUGGUUUGUCGCGUUGUUCGUGAAAACUCACAGCUCAACUGUGGGCGUGCGGGCGAUACGGGCAGACUUGAGUACUGCAGGGGAGACUGGAAUUCCUGGUGUAGCGGUGGAAUGCGCAGAUAUCAGGAGGAACACCGGUGGCGAAGGCGGGUCUCUGGACCGAUACUGACGUGGAGGCGACGAAAGCCGUGGGGAGCAAACAGG
rnacentral:rRNA from 1 species